GCAGUCUCCAUGCUCUCCAUCUCCAGCACCUGAAGAGAUGCAGCCGCGGCGGCCGCCGCCGCUGCCGCCACUGCCGCGGCCGCCAUCUUGACGCUGCCGCGCCCGGCCUCCGCAGCCUUGGAACGAUGUGGCCGUUUGUUUGGAGGAAACACCAAAAAUCAACAAACGUAACGAAGAAGAAAACAGCUGCAAUGCUCACCGAGUAAAGGACCCACAGUUUCUAAGCAUGUCUACAAACGCAACUCCAAUGAGACCAUCUACAUUCAGGAUAAGAUUUGGCUUCUGGGAAGGCAAAAAAUUCAAAGCAUUUAUCAUUAUUUCUCAUUUUUUCUUUGUCAUUUUUCCACUGUUACUACUGUUACCACGAAUUGCGACCAUUAUUUAAAAACCUUCCACCGUCCCUACUGGCUGACGCUGUGUCUGACUCAGUUCAAUUCCCAGCAUCUAGCAAAGUACCCAACACCUAGCUGACAUUUAGUGCAUGUCUGCUGAAGUUAGUUAUGACAGAAAAAGAACACUUCCAGAAAACUGGGUUUGCUUUUAGCUGCAUAAUCAAAAUGUAACCUGGCUAUUUCCUCCAAUAAAUUUAUCCAACAUAAGAUUAGAGAAUUAGGGAAGUUUUUUCUUUGUUACCUUCGAGGUGGUAAUCUUCUCCACUUCCAGGGCAUAAUCGAGCAGAGGAGUGGCAGGGAAGUGCUGCCUGACGUAAUCUUUGAGGAUCUGCACUCGCAUGUCUGGGUUGUUUAUCUGGAAAUGAACCCAGCAUUACAGAGGAACACUCACAGACUGCUGUGAAGGGAUGUGUUUGUUCAUACUUGUGUUACAGGUGGGUAGAACUGUACAUACCCCAGAGGAAAUUCAGGAACCUGGCCCACGUGUACAAUUCCAUGUGGUAACCAUUGUGCUACUGCCGUGGGGCUGGUUUUUGAAAUCCUCUCAUAUCUCAUUUGGAUUACAAAACAACCUGUGUAGGUUCUCACUUUUAUGUUACAAAGAAGAAACUGAGCCCUGGAGACGUUCAGGGAGCUGGUCAGGUACUACGGUGUUGAGCAGCAGGGGUCUGAGGAUUAACCACUCUCCAACUCAGUCUUAGGUUCUAGCCUCCAGCCAUGCCCCUACCAGCUCUGCGCCUACUCAAGCUGUGACAAAGUUCAACACUAAGCAAACACGUGUUGAGUGUGGGGAGGCAAAGUAUUCCCAAAAUUUUAGAAAAAACUCUAGACCUGCCAUUAAUGAAAUUAACCACCUGUCAGCGGGGGAGUAAGAUGAUUUAGGGACAUACCAAAUCCCAAUACCAAAGCAACUUCCGAGCUCAACAAAGAGACAGCUGGGUCAGUACAUCCUCCAGAAAGCAAGGAGCACAAAGAGUGAAUGAGUGAAUGUGGAGUGCAGGUCUAGCACUAUCUUAGAAAGAGGCCCUUAUCCUGUGGGUGGGAAAGGUGUUAUAUGCUCAGGAGCUGGGGGUGGCUGAGCAAAGUUCAGCAAGUCCUGGAUGCAAUGUCCUUCAGUGCCACCCACCUUCCCUGCUUGGUUCUGAGCUGGUCCUUGCUCAUCAAGCAACCUCUGGGUGUCUCACCUGAGACAGCCAAGUGUUUGGCUGCCUAGAAGGCAGUGUCCUGAAUCACAUGCAUACUCCCCACCUAGGCCAGUGGAGUGACCAACUAAAUGAGGUUUCUGGAGCUACAGAGUCAAGGAGCCCAGGGCAAAGGGAUUUACUAAGGAGCUGUCCCCAUAAGGCCCUGAGCAGCUGCCAGUGACCUCAUCUCUUGCUUUUCAGUUUCUAACCACAGCACACUACAAGGACACAGAGAUGACUGGCCCUGUGUGAGACUAUAUAAACUAUUUAAAAUAUUUACUGUCCUUUCCCACUGGUCUCUCCCCAUCAGAUAUGCCUUGAUAUUAUCACUCUUCCUGCCCUAGUGCUGCCAGGAAUAACCACUUGACUUGUGGCCAAUGAGAUGUGAGUGAAGGUGAAUCAUGUAAGAUCCAAGCAGAAGCUUUAAGAGCCUGCACAUGGUCCUGCCAUUGAUGUUAUCCUGCUGACAUGAGGACAGCACAUCAUAGACAGGGGCUGUUCCUUCAGCACAGAUGGCAGAGAACAAGCAUAGCCAACCCUCAGGGGAUGUAGUGUGAAUGAGACAUAAAUCUUUGCUGUGGUAAGCCACUGAGAUUUUUGGAAUUGUCAGUUACUGCAGCACGAGGUAUUAUCUAGCAUAACAAGACCAAUAUGUCCCCUCAACCUGACCUUGGACCUUUCUCCCAUAAGCUUUAUUUGGGAAGCCAAA